UGUUAAUCUUAUUUGACUGUGAAAUAGCCUAUUUAUUUACUUCUCAUUUUGCCAUGCAUUAAUUUAAUGUUCAUCUUAUAUGUGUGUUCAUCUUAUUUAACUGUAAAAUGGCCUAUUUAUUUACGUUCUCAUAGUGCCAUACAUUAAGUUAAUGUUCAUCUCAUAUGUCUGUUCGCCUUAUUUGACUGUAAAAUGGCCUAUUUAUUUACUUCUCAUUUUGCCAUGCAUUGAUGUAAAUAUACAUGUUUAUUUAUGUAAUAAUAAGCUUUUAUAACAUAUUUGGUUUUCUUUUCUGUUUUUGUACAUAAAUUGCUCAUUGUUGAAGGCUGUUUGGUGACCUAUAGUUGUGAAAGUCUGUAUCAUUUGGUCUCUUAUGGAGAAUUGAUUCAUUGGCAAUCAU
rnacentral:lncRNA from 1 species